AGAUUGAACGCUGGCGGCAUGCCUAACACAUGCAAGUCGAACGGGAGGUAGCAAUACUCUAGUGGCGGACGGGUGAGGAAUACGUAGGAAUUUGCCCUUAAGUGGGGGAUAACCCGGGGAACCCGGAUUAAUACCGCAUGACCUCGAAAGAGCAAAGUGGGGGAUCGCAAGACCUCACGCUUUUGGAGAAGCCUACGUCGGAUUAGCUAGUUGGUGAGGUAAUGGCUCACCAAGGCGACGAUCCGUAACUGGUCUGAGAGGAUGAUCAGUCACACCGGAACUGAGACACGGUCCGGACUCCUACGGGAGGCACG
rnacentral:rRNA from 1 species